GGCUCGGUAGCUCAGUGGGAAAAGCAUCCGUCUAGCAUAUAAGGGUCGUGAGUUCAAAUCUCACCUGAGCUA
rnacentral:tRNA from 1 species